rnacentral:rRNA from 1 species
CAGUCGCCGCGGUAAUACGUAGGGUGCAAGCGUUAAUCGGAAUUACUGGGCGUAAAGCGUGCGCAGGCGGUUAUAUAAGACAGAUGUGAAAUCCCCGGGCUCAACCUGGGAACUGCAUUUGUGACUGUAUAGCUAGAGUACGGCAGAGGGGGAUGGAAUUCCGCGUGUAGCAGUGAAAUGCGUAGAUAUGCGGAGGAACACCGAUGGCGAAGGCAAUCCCCUGGGCCUGUACUGGCGCUCAUGCACGAAAGCGUGGGGAGCAAACAGGAUUAGAGACCCCGGUAGUCCUGUCUCUUAUACA